rnacentral:misc_RNA from 1 species
AAGUCGUAACAAGGUUUCCGUAGGUGAACCUGCGGAAGGAUCAUUAACGAAAUAAAAGGUUGGAGUUGGUUGUAUUGAAAGGAACCAGGGGUCCGAAGGACCGCUGGAGUCUCUUUUGAUAUUUCGAACGACGCCUUUUACAAGAACGCUUGCGCUGGGGGUAGUGGGAGGGAUGAUGAAAAAUCAGUCCUCUCAUGCCACACGUAGGUAAAAUGGGUACGAGAGAAAGAUGAUUUCUUCUCGGUACACAUAAACAAUGUCAUAUCUGCCUUAUAAGCACAAAACACAAAUACAACUUUU